rnacentral:rRNA from 1 species
GCUUGUCUCAAAGAUUAAGCCAUGCAUGUCUUAGUGUAAAUAACUCUUAUGAAACUGCGAAUGGCUCAUUAAAUCAGUUAUCGUUUAUUUGAUGGUACCUACUACUCGGAUAACCGUAGUAAUUCUAGAGCUAAUACGUGCGCACAACCCGACUUCUGGAAGGGUCGUAUUUAUUAGAUAAAAGGCCAGCCGGGCUUUGCCCGACCUGCGGUGAAUCAUGAUAACUUCACGAAUCGCAUGGCCUCGCGCCGGCGAUAUUUCAUUCAAAUUUCUGCCCUAUCAAUUGGCGAUGGUAGGAUAGAGGCCUACCAUGGUGUUAACGGGUGACGGGGGAUUAGGGUUCGAUUCCGGAGAGGCAGCCUGAGAAACGGCUACCACAUCCAAGGAAGGCAGCAGG